GAUGAACGCUGGCGGCGUGCCUAAUACAUGCAAGUCGAGCGGACCAAAGAGAGCUUGCUCUCUGAGGUUAGCGGCGGACGGGUGAGUAACACGUGGGUAACCUGCCUGUAAGACGGGGAUAACUUCGGGAAACCGAAGCUAAUACCGGAUGAUAAAGAGAAACGCCUGUUUCUUUUUUGAAAGUCGGCCUUGUGCUGACGCUUACAGAUGGGCCCGCGGCGCAUUAGCUAGUUGGUGAGGUAACGGCUUACCAAGGCGACGAUGCGUAGCCGACCUGAGAGGGGGAUCGGCCACACUGGGACUGAGACACGGCCCAGACUCCUACGGGAGGCAGCAGUAGGGAAUCUUCGGCAAUGGACGAAAGUCUGACCGAGCAACGCCGCGUGGGCGAUGAGGGCCUUCGGGUCGUAAAGCUCUGUUGUCAGAGAGGAACAAGUACCGGAGUAACUGGCGGUACCUUGACGGUACCUGACCAGAAAGCCACGGCUAACUACGUGCCAGCCGCCGCGGUAA
rnacentral:rRNA from 1 species